rnacentral:rRNA from 1 species
AUUGAACGCUGGCGGCAGGCCUAACACAUGCAAGUCGAACGGUAACAGGAAGAAGCUUGCUUCUUUGCUGACGAGUGGCGGACGGGUGAGUAAUGUCUGGGAAACUGCCUGAUGGAGGGGGAUAACUACUGGAAACGGUAGCUAAUACCGCAUAACGUCGCAAGACCAAAGAGGGGGACCUUCGGGCCUCUUGCCAUCGGAUGUGCCCAGAUGGGAUUAGCUAGUAGGUGGGGUAACGGCUCACCUAGGCGACGAUCCCUAGCUGGUCUGAGAGGAUGACCAGCCACACUGGAACUGAGACACGGUCCAGACUCCUACGGGAGGCAGCAGUGGGGAAUAUUGCACAAUGGGCGCAAGCCUGAUGCAGCCAUGCCGCGUGUAUGAAGAAGGCCUUCGGGUUGUAAAGUACUUUCAGCGGGGAGGAAGGGAGUAAAGUUAAUACCUUGGCUCAUCGACGUUACCCGCAGAAGAAGCACCGGCUAACUCCGUG